UUCCCUGGGGGCGAUAUAAGCGGCUGACCACGCGUCCCAUCUCUUCUAGUGGCAGCCUGGAAAGGACGGGGGUGGGGGGAGCUUGUCCCUGGAAGGGUCAGGAGCGGGAGUUGGCUGGGAGCGGGGAUCCCAGGUCCUAGUCCCUGAGCUUAGUCUUUGGGGAAGGGGUUUCUGAGAGUCCUUUCAGUACUGAACACUUUUUACACGACAGGACCACGUCUUACAGCCCUGAUGAGAGGUGGAGUUACCCCAUUUUACAUGGGAGGAAACUGAGACUCAGAGAGAAAGAAAGCCCCUGCCCUGGACCUUUCGACUAGAAUCUAAAAGCUAGCUGACCCUAAUGUCCCAUGGCUCCCUCCUGGCGAAACUGGGGGAAACCAAAGGCUAGAGGAGCAAGGAAGUAAUGGAACUAUGAUCCUAAUUCCAUAAAAAUAAGCGGAAGAAAAAAGUUUGUAAGAAUAUACAACAAGGUGUUGGCAGUGGUUUUCUUCCCAGGAAUGUGAUUAUGGAAAGUUUUUACUUUCAGUAUUCCUGUAACUUUUGAGGUUUUUUUAAACAAUCAUAUGUUGCUUCUCUAAGGUUUAAUUUUGUUAACCAGAGUAUAUGUUAGAUAUUCUCUUUCUACUCAUAUUACUUUUACAAUCAUACUAAAACACUAACUAUAUUCCCAUUUUAUUUUUAAUACCUAAUUGUUCUGAAUAUCCUGAAAAUCUCAGAAAAUUUCCAUAAGCACAAAGAAGAAAAUAAAAAUCACCAGUAAUUCCAGCACUCAGAAAUAACCACUGUUCACAAUUUAUUGUAAUUUUUUAAUUAGGAAAAAAUUAUGUUGAAGGAAAAAAGCAAACACCAUAACAUACAUGGAAAAAAUCUGAAAAGAUACACAUUAAAAUAUGAAGGCAGGCAACAUUUGGAGCGACUGUUAUUUUCUUCUUAUUGCUUACCAUCUUAUUUUUCUACAAUGAAAGUGUGUGUGUUUGUGUGUUAUGUUUAAAAAGUGAAACAGGAGCCAACACUUAGGGCUGAUCAGUAAGAGAUCAGAGGCCCCAGCCUUUGAGUUCAUCAGCAUGGUAAGAAUCUGUGGACAGGUGUGGCUGUGAGAGCUAGGAUGAAACUGGCAAGGCUGUGACUACAGGUGGCCCUGAUUGGACCAUGUGUGGAAGGAGUCUGUGGUCACUGAUGGACCACAGUGUGGGAAAGCUCUAAAUCCUGGGCUUCCAUCCCAGCUCCACUGCUGACUUGCUGACCACUGCAAAUAAUUUCAUUGCCCACCACUCCAGAUAAGUGGGCAGCAAGUGAAACCCAAAUUCACUUAGACCCACUUAGUCCUGAUCCUGGCAGGAGAAAAUGAUGGCCCUGGUGUGGCCAUGGCCAGGAACACUCUGGUGGUCCCUGACUAUUUCCCAGGCUGGGACCUAGAAGUUGAGGCAGGGUGGUUCAUACUCCUCCCCAGAGGAACUGGGGAUUGGGUAGACACUCUGUGUUAUUAAUGUCCCCUAGGAAGCAGGCAGGGCAAGCAUUGGUGUGUUGGUUUUUUAAAUGGGAAACAAAAACAGAGACAGCUACAUCCCAGAAGCCUCCUUGGCUUUAUGAGAUCUGAUUAGGGUGCCCUAGAGUUUAGGGCCAAGGUGCUAUGGGAUGGUGUUAAGAGCCUGGCCUUUGGAGUCAGGUAAAUCUCCUAGUAUGUAACUUUUGGCAAAUCCUGUUUCUUCUCCUGUAAAAUGGGGAUGUCCCACCUACUUCCUAGGGCUGUCGUAAAGAUUACAUAAAAUAAUCCAUGUUACGGGGAAGUUAGCAAGCAACUUUCACAGACCCUAACGGGAAUUAAAGAAAGGGUCCCUGCCUCUGCCCACAGCCAAGCAAGCACUGCCCUUCCCCAGCUCAAUCUGGCCUGUAACUCAGUCCCCAGGCCAGGGAGACCUGGAUCUUGUUCCUGGGCAAUCUGGGGAAUAACAGUGUCAGAGCCAGAAGAGAUUUAGGAAUCAUUCUAGUCCAGUAUCUGUCUUUGCACAGGUGUGUGGACUGAGGCCCAGAGAGAAAAGGUAUAUAUCAACCCAGUAUGUGACAGCCUGAUCUCCAGACUCAGGAACCUGGUCCUUUCCUCUUGUAGUUAGAUACCCUGGUCCAGGAUGAAACCCUUCUCCUCAAACCUCUGGCUUGGAGCUGCUAGAAUAGGAAUUGGGAGAAGGGGGCCAAGCCAUCUCUCCAGCACUGGCCCAAGCCUCGUCCCUGGCAACUGGGGGGGAUAAGUCCCCAGACCAAUGAGAGCUGUCCAAAGGUGGAGUCGGCGGGCCCCCUUAUGAAAACCAUCUCUAGGAUUCACUGAGUGCCGCCUGGCUUUACAACACAUCAGCUCAUCUAUCUUUGGGAAGGUAUCCUAUCCUUAAGGCCAUUUUACGGAUAAGGAAACGUUGUUGCAAAGUAUGUUUCUGCCUCCUUCUGAUUCCUAAGCAAAAGAUCCUGGAAGUGCAAGAUCUGUGCGCUGCUCCACCCCCAUGCUGCCUGCGGGGCGGUACUGGGAAGGCCCAGUCGGUAGAGGAGUGCCAAACUCCUCACCAGUCGACAGCUGGCGCUUACAGGAGAAGCAGGCGAAGCAGGCCAGGUGGUAGGCGUUGCCGCGAGCUCUCCGCACCCAGUCGCUGGCGUAGAUCUGUCGGCCACAGCGGGCACACUUGGUCCCGAAUCGGCUGCAGGUGGAGAGGACAGGCACGGGGUGGCGAGACUCAGACAGGCCAACCUUUCCCCUUCCACCCACACUGGCCGCCAGCUCCCAGGCUCGGAUGCACCAACCCUCUAUACCUAGUCCCAGCUAGGAGGUGAACUGGUGAGGAAAAUGGGGACCAGAGAGGCAAAGUAACUUGCACAAGGUCACAUGGCUUGCAAUGACAGAAACCCUAGCCAUCCUGACUCCGGAGAUGAAUAUAAGCUAUAGCCCCAGGUGUACAGAAUGCAGUUUCUUAGAAGAACAGACAGAUAAGCACUUACUGGCUUUGUGACCCUGGGCAAACUGUUUAACUCUGAGUUCUCAUUUUCCUUGUACUGCACUGAACUAGAUGACAACAGCAAUGACCACUACUGUUUGUUCAGAGCUUGCACUCUGCCAAGUACCCAGCAAGUUCUGGAGCUGUGACAUUCUAUUAAUAAUACUAAAUGUUAAAAAGACAAAAAUAAAAAUAAAAAGCCUGAAUCGAAUGUCUUCUUACCCCUUAAGCCUUCCUUGAUUCUACCUCUUCCCCUUCUCCCUUCCAGUUUUGUAGUCUGGCAAUUUGGGUGCAGCUGCCUCCAACACUAGACUGGGAGCCCCUCCAGAAGGGAGCAGAGUCUGGUUUAUCCCAUCCUAGAAGUCAGUCCAGGGCCUGAGCCAGGGCACCAGGGAAGGUGUGUUCUUUAAAGUGGAUGACUCACUUGCCACUCUGUCCCAACCCUGGCACCCUGUUUCCUCUGGUACACCCUCUAUUUCAGAGAAUGGUGCC